GUCCCGCCUGCCCUGUGACUAUAUGUUUAACGGCCGCGGUAUUUUGACCGUGCGAAGGUAGCGCAAUCACUUGUCUCUUAAAUGGGGACCUGUAUGAAUGGCAUAACGAGGGCUUGACUGUCUCCUCUUUCAAGUCAAUGAAAUUGAUCUCCCCGUGCAGAAGCGGGGAUACGCUCAUAAGACGAGAAGACCCUAUGGAGCUUCAGACACUAAAGCAGCUCAGCAUUAAUACCCUAAACACAGGGCACGAAUAAACUGAACCCUGCCCUAAUGUCUUAGGUUGGGGCGACCGCGGAGAAAUAAAAAACCCCCGCAAGGACCGAAUGUACUACAUUCACAACCAAGAGCGACAGCUCUAAUUAACAGACACUUCUGACCAAUAAGAUCCGGCAACGCCGAUCAAUGGACCAAGUUACCCUAGGGAUAACAGCGCAAUCUCCUCUUAGAGCCCGUAUCAACGAGGAGGUUUACGACCUCGAUGUUGGAUCAGGACAUCCUAAUGGUGCAGCCGCUAUUAAGGGUUCGUUUGUUCAACGAUUAAAG
rnacentral:rRNA from 1 species